CACAAUGUAGCAAUGCCUUCGUUUUAAGGGACAACCCAGAACGACUGAUGAAUUCAUCAGGUACCCGUGUGCAGCAUGAUUGCAUGAUUGCUGCGCUCAUCUCCUUGCUCAUGUCCAAUUCCUGGGAAGCACAGCUGCUCGCACGAAAAACACUGCGAUGACACGCGACCCCGGAUCACUAUAAAGCGCGGACCCAUUAUGCU